AGGUGAGAGGUCGAUCUGGCUGCGACAUCUGUCACGCCAUUGAUCACAGGGGUUGAUUUGGCUGAUCUGACUUGCUAGGUGAAUGUACCCUUCCUCCCUCACUGCUCCUGGAGUGUGUCUCUCCUGAAGCUGCACAAUUGGGCGAAGAGGAUGGCCUUCCCAGAAUAGAGAAGGACUAGUCUUUAGUCAAGGGUAUAGGAGUAAGUGUGCUCACCUCCAAACAAGCUCUCAAAAAAGAGUUUAUAAAUGAAAAUAAAAUAUUCUAAGGCUUAAAGAGGAGGCCUGAUUG
ensembl:misc_RNA Gm26480 predicted gene, 26480